rnacentral:rRNA from 1 species
UUCGUAGGCGGUGUGGCAAGUCGGGAGUGGAAUCUCUGGGCUUAACUCAGAGACUGCUUCCGAAACUGCUGUGCUUGAGUGUGGGAGAGGCGCGCGGAAUUGCAGGUGUAGCGGUGAAAUGCGUAGAUAUCUGCAGGAACACCCGUGGCGAAAGCGGCGCGCUGGACCACUACUGACGCUGAGGAACGAAAGCUAGGGGAGCAAACAGGAUUAGAUACCCUGGUAGUCCUAGCCCUAAACGAUCAGGACUUGGGGUGCCGCACGUUCGUGCGUCGUCCCGGAGCUAACGCGUUAAGUCCUGCACCUGGGGAGUACGGUCGCAAGACUGAA